GGCCACGCGCUGCUCAGCAGAGCCGCGCGGCGGCGGGACUUAUUUGGUGCUGCGCGGUCUGUGAGCUGCGGUCGCGCUCGGUUCGUCUCGCUGCUGGGGGCCUGGCUGGACGCGAUCUUUAACUUUGAGGCGCGAGUGCCCAAGUCCUUCCGAUGACUCCGGGGACGUUGCCUCAUGUCCUACAGCGCCAGAGGCCUGGCGGGGUCGUCGACCCUGGUCUGCUGGACAACGGGGACAGCGAGGUCCCUGGCGUCGCCGGAUCCUGCUCGCCGGACCCUGCUCCGGAGUGGCACGUCCGACCGGCGGUGUGCAGAGCAGCCCGCAGGGUCCCCAGGUCCCCCAGGCCCGACAGCAGCUCGCCACGGCGGAGAUGAGGUGUACGGGGGGGGGGGCGCUUUUUGCUGCCAUGCUGUCUGUCUUGCUAAUGAAUGAAUGGAUCUUGAAAUCCAAGACAACUGAUUACCCCCAACCAUCUCAGUCCCGUUUUACGACCGCACCUCCAUUCUUCCCUGCCAAGAACCCGGAGUCAGCCUGGCGUGGUGGCGCACACCUGGAAUCCCAGGACUUGGGAGGCUGAGGCAGGAGGAUCGCCACGAGUUCCAGGCCAGCCAGGGCUACAUAGUUCAAGGGCAGCCUGAACUACAUAGCGAGACCCUGUCUCAAAACAAAAAAAGAACCCAAAGUCGUCCUGUCCGCCCCGUCCUAGUUUCUUGAGCUGAUCCGGAGUCCAGCCCCGCGGUGACCCCGGAGCUGCCCCGCCGACACCCCCACCCUGCGCCCUGUUUCACAGCCACAUCCUUCUCCCGGAGUGCGGGUGCUCACCCGUCCUGGUCUACGCCUUGCCAGAGUGCUUUGUAAAAUGAGCAUGUGACUGGGUCAUUUGUGUUUAGCAAAGUCCCAUAGCGCCCUGUUUCUCUUAGGAUGAAAUUUAGCGCACAGGAAAAGAGAAUGUUAGACUUAUACCUGAUAUUUUUAGCAAGAGAAGCCAAAAGGCAGUAGGAUAACAUCAAACGCCUGGAGAGAAAAUAAUCAUCAUCCUAGAAUUAGGUAUCCAGUGAAAAGAUCUUUCAAGAACUGUGUAUCCACUGAAAAUAUCUUUGUAGAAUGAGAGUGAAAUAAUGACAUUCACAAAUACAAACACUAAGACUUUGUCCCUCCCUAAGGGGAAUUCCAACGGAGGAAUUUCGGGGAUGGAGGAAGAUGAUCAGACUGAGGUCUGUUGCAAUACGGAAGAAAAAACAAUGAAGACCAUUGAUAAUAUAAAAUAGCAACUGUCUUCUGGAUAAAAAUAGAAUUAAAAUACGCAAUAGUCGUGGCAUAUAAACUUGACUGGGUGGAGGUACCGCGUUCUAAGACCUGACAUUCUUCAGAAAGAAAGUGAAGAUAGGGGCGGAGAUUUAGCUCAGUGGAAGGAACCGCGCCUGCCUGAAAGCCCAAGGUCCUGAGUUCAAUCCCCGGUUCCAAAAAAAAAGAAAGAAAGAAAGUGAAGACGGCUGAGCUGAAAAUCCAAGUUGCCAUCACUAAGAAAAACAGAGAAUGGGAAUACAGUGUGUGAUAUUUAUCUAAAUUAUUGGAAUAAAAAAACCAACCCAAGCAAUCCUGAGGCCAGCAGGAAAAAAUAAAUACAACUGGUGGGACAAAAAGAUGAUAGGUAUUCACUCAAAGAUUCUGUAAUUGAGUAAGUACAAGUGGACUAAAUGUUGUGGUUAAUAUACGAAGCUUAGCAGACUGCAUAAAUUCCAACUUGGUGCCAUUUGGAUCACUGAUAUUUCCCAAACAUACAGAUACUAAAUGAUUGAAAGUGCGUGGAGGGAAAUGGCAUGCAAAAGCUAACUAAAAGAAUGUGGGUGUGGGUUUUUUAAUAUAUGGAAAGGAUCACUAGAGACAAAAAGGGUCACUUCAUAGAGAAAAGGAUACAAUUGACCAGGAGGGUAGGACAAUUUCAAAUUUGUAUCCAGAUACUAAAGUCAUUCAAGGAAACAAAUAGAACUACAAGAAAUAGACAACCACAAUUACAGACUAUGGAUCCAAAUUAUAGAUUUUAAGACAUAUUCCUCUAUAAUCAGCAGAACAAGCAGAAAAAAUAUUCCUAAGGUUAGAUUUGAACAAUGUCAUUAAUAAACUUGAUGAUAUUUACCAAAACAGUGUUCAAAAGCCUGAAUCAUAUAAAGUAUAUUUUCUGACAUCGACCUAUUUAAGCUAGAGAUCAGCAAGGACCCAAGUUCGAUCCCCGGUACCCAAAAAAACCACAAAAAACCCCCCAUAAGCUAGAGAUCAAUAACUGAUAGCCCCUUGUGUUUGGAACAUAAUUUUGAAAGAACUUUGAAAGCCCCCUCAGUUUGGAAAUUAAGUAUGUUUCUAAGUAACUGAUGGAACAAAAAGAAAAAAGUCAAUUGAAAUCAUAAAAUAUAUCAAC
rnacentral:lncRNA from 1 species